UGUAAGGAUGAUGGCACAUACGCAGCCUUGCAGUUCCAAGGAUCGGCGACCUAUUGUGUGGACAGAUGCGGUGACAUUUUGACUGACUACCAGAUGGGGCACAUUUCUCAAGGCAACGACUGCAAGUGCGCACGUGACCUUGCUGAUUACCUGGAGAAAGGUAUCAUUGGAAAACUGUUUUUCUGUGAUAAAUACGGCAAUUAUCGCAAACCCAACUAGGAACUCCAAGUUGAGAAAUCAAGCCUUAAAUUCCGACGUUACAAUGAGCACAAUUUCAUUAAAGCAAAUUCUCAAACAGACUGUGCUAUUUCUAUAUUCUGUACUUCAAUAAUAAUAAUAAUAAAUAGAUAAAUAAGCUAUAAAGUUCUAUUAAAACAUGUUCAAAUCGCAUAUUAGAUAUCAGUAUUGGAUUCUAAUAUUAACAUACAUGUCUUGAGGAAAUACGCAAAUCCACACACACAAACAGACACACAGAAUAAUCUUUCUAAUAGUACAUGCACUCCAAAAGUACACAGCACCCAAACAAGUAGCGCUAUGUUAUGGGAUGGUGAGCGUGCAUGUUCCGGUACAUGAUGUUCAUAUCCGAAAGUAAAGUAAGUGUUUUGUAGAAGAGAUUUGGAAAAUAAUAAUAGUAAAUAAGUAGAAAAUCGUUGAUGUU